GGCAAAACAUUUUGACUAAGUUUCUUAGUAAUCUUAUUCUUGAUUUAUGUUAAAAUUACUUCAUUUAAAAUUAACUUUUAGCUCAUUUAAAAUUUAAAGCUAAUGAUGUAACUAAUUACUAAAUAGUAAUUUUUAAAAAGAAAUGAAAAACUAUCUAAUUGUAUAGUAACCUUUUCCAUAAUAGAAAUUACUCAUCUUGAGCUGCAUUAACACCUUGAGUGCAUGUAGUGAUGUGAUGAUUCAUUAAAUAGUAAGCUUUAAACCAAAAUGUUUAAGUAAUCAGAAUGCUUUUAAAUGUGGCCUUUAUAUGCAUAAUAGUAGCAAACAAGAUUUCUUGAGCCUAGAAGAUGGAGUUUAGGAUUCUAGAAGUCUGAAGCACUCCAUGAUUUUUUUGUGUGUGUGGCAACUGAAAAACCAUCUUUUAUAUUAUGGUUAAGAUAACUUUACUAGAACAAAGUCUUUUUAGCAAUCUUUUCAUCAUUAAAAAAUGAAUCUAUGGAUUACUAAAAUCAUUUUGAGAGUAUUUUAAUAUUUUAAUCUGUUUUUAUACUGCCCUUUACUCAAUUAAGAACAAAACUUCCAUUAACUUCAAAGAGUGCACUGAAUUUCAGUAAUUUAAGUCUGUUACAGUGAGGAGGACUAGGAAGACUAAACAACCAUUUUGUAAGCAUAUUCAUUUGUUUACCACUAACUGCCUGGAAAGAUUUAGCUUGGAAAUGCAAAGGAAAUAUAUAAUCUUUAGGGAAAGAAAUAUAAGACUGUAAAGCCUUUAGAGUUAGAUCCUUUGUAUUUUAAAAUAGUAGAAUACAUUUCCAAUGUUUUCACCAAACUCCUGAACAAUUGAUCUUCACCUGGUCUUGAAAUACCUAGCACUAUUUUUCCCGAACCUGAGUGAACUGCUGCAUGACCUGUUAUUUCUAUAAAGUUAAUAACUGAUGCAAGUAGACACACGAGUGAUGAGCUGUGACAAUCUAUAUCAAUCAUUACACAGUCUAGUUCAUUUAUUGCACAUAACCAUGGUAGAAAAUUAUGAGAAGAAAUUUGAAAGAUAUAUUAAAAAUAAGUGUAUCUUGUUAUCUCUCUGGGUAAAUUUUUUGUCUUUUUAAAAAGUAGUGCCUAAUACAUUGUCUUAUUAUGUAACAUUCAGUGAUUGCUAGUUGAUGGUUAAUGUGUUGAAUUAAUCCUAUUAAAUGUGAGUUCCACAUACUUGAUUUUAAUUUAUACAUUCCAUGGGGGAA
rnacentral:lncRNA from 1 species